rnacentral:rRNA from 1 species
GAUGAACGCUGGCGGCGUGCCUAAUACAUGCAAGUCGAGCGAACAGACGAGGAGCUUGCUCCUCUGACGUUAGCGGCGGACGGGUGAGUAACACGUGGAUAACCUACCUAUAAGACUGGGAUAACUUCGGGAAACCGGAGCUAAUACCGGAUAAUAUAUUGAACCGCAUGGUUCAAUAGUGAAAGACGGUUUUGCUGUCACUUAUAGAUGGAUCCGCGCCGCAUUAGCUAGUUGGUAAGGUAACGGCUUACCAAGGCAACGAUGCGUAGCCGACCUGAGAGGGUGAUCGGCCACACUGGAACUGGGACACGGUCCAGACUCCUACGGGAAGCAGCAGUAGGGGAUCUUCCGCAAUGGGGGGAAGCCUGACGGAGCAACGCCGCGUGAGUGAUAAAGGUCUUCGGAUCGUAAAACUCUGUUAUUAGGGAAAAACAAAUGUGUAAGUAACUAUGCACGGCUUGACGGUACCUAAUCAGAAAGCCACGGCUAACUACGUG